AUGGCUGUCGUCAGCUCGUGUUGUGAAAUGUUGGGUUAAGUCCCGCAACGAGCGCAACCCUUAUCCUUGUUUGCCAGCGAGUAAUGUCGGGAACUCCAGGGAGACUGCCGGUGAUAAACCGGAGGAAGGUGGGGACGACGUCAAGUCAUCAUGGCCCUUACGAGUAGGGCUACACACGUGCUACAAUGGCGCAUACAGAGGGCAGCAAGCUAGCGAUAGUGAGCGAAUCCCAAAAAGUGCGUCGUAGUCCGGAUUGGAGUCUGCAACUCGACUCCAUGAAGUCGGAAUCGCUAGUAAUCGUGGAUCAGAAUGCCACGGUGAAUACGUUCCCGGGCCUUGUACACACCGCCCGU
rnacentral:rRNA from 1 species